UUGGCUUCCUUUGUGAUGGCCGGAAAGAAGAUCGCUGUUGUCGAAAGGAACAAUGCGCAACGACCGACGGACGGUGAUAUAUAUAUGCUGGUGUACGUGCGGUCUACAGAGGUGCACGAGUAGUAGAAACUAGCAAGUGCGAAGCAGUAGAGAGUAUAUAUGCGCGCGUGUUUGACGGGACUAUUCUGCACACCGCCGCCGGUGCAGUUUCCAGCCACGGCCACGCCACGCGGGUAUACAUGCGCCGCGCAACACUUGGACUCGGUCUGUUGACGACGGCCGGGCGGUGCCGGUGCAAGGCGCGCACGUAGCUAGCCUUCCAUGGAGGCGGCUGCGGCGGGGCCUCCGAAGCCCGCAGCNNNN
rnacentral:lncRNA from 1 species